rnacentral:hammerhead_ribozyme from 1 species
ACUGGCUGACGAGUCCCAAAUAGGACGAAAUGAGCAUUCCAGAU